CAAGAGAAAGCUCUUCAUGGGGUUUUGUUCCGGAGGCAGAACGUUGAGGAAAGGCAAGCUGGGGAGAAGAACGUGGCUGAUCAGGGGAGAAGGGAGCUCUAAAAAGAGUCCUGAGAAGAGGCAGGCAUGAGCAGGGAGGGGGGGUGGCAGGGAGAAGAGCGCUGGGCCAGGAAGCCCCAGGCUGGGCUCCAGGGACAGAGGUGCGAGGUGAGAGGCACAGAGUAUUGGGUGCAGGGUGCAGCCCAGCUGCCAGGACCAAUCCCUGCUGUUCCUGGCCAGGCAACCUCAGGUAAGUUGCGUCACCUCUCUGGGUCUGCUCCAGCAGUUGCUGAAAUUUACAUGCCCACUACCCAGGGUGCUUGGAAGAAUGACUGUAGGCGAGGCCUUUACAACAGUGGCUGGCAGGCAGCAAGCACUUGGGGUAGGUCAGCUAUUUUUACCACUAUCACGGAACCUGUCCCUAAGAGCCCCAGGCAGGCUGCUUCCCUCGUCUACAACACAGGGACAGCAAUACCAGCCCCAGAAGAACACAGUAGCUGCUGCUGGCACCCCCACCUCGAGCAGACAGGAUUUCUCAUGGCCCUGGCGUGAGGCAGGCCUGAAAUGUAAGUGAUGAUCUGCCCAGUCUGGCCCUUUGGACCGGCUCCCCUUCCUCCGUUGCCGCUUCCUGGAUCACUGCCCAGGUAAUCUGCUGGGUGCCGAAAUCCACGACUCAGGGGCUGUGUCCUAGAGAACUAAGACACUGGAGACAAGAGCUGACCGAAGAUCAAGACCUCCCACUGUGGACUUGCUGUAGAGCCUCUGAAUUUGCCAACAUGAUUUACCAUGAAGAAAAUCCUCAGCUACUAAUGUUUAAAAACAGGGAGAUACCACAGGAGAAUCUGCGUCUUAGUUUCCCUUGAAGUCUGUACCGAGUGUGGCAGACCUGGCUCAGUAAGGCCUGGUCCCUCCCCACCUGAAGACAGGACACAGGAGUAGUGCCCACCACAGAGGAUGGAUCAGAUAGAGCAUGAAAGCACUCAGCCUAGGGCCCAGCACGCAGAAUGUCAAAAGCAACAAUCAAAGUGUCCUGAGGGGCCACCCCAGAGGACGAGCAGUGCCCAGCAAAUGGAGAAUCCAGGUUAAGGCUGAGGGGGAAAGUGAAGAUCUGUGGCUGAUCUCAGCUUUUCAGUAUGGCCUCUGAUCCAUUCUCUCUCUCUUCUCUCUCUACAGAACCCUGCUAGUUUCAUUUGUGGUUAGGAAACUAAUAAAAAUCUUGUCUAUGUGUUUUCAUUGGGUUUCUCUGGGCUGGGCCAGCCUACAAUUCAGAAACAAACUGGCCACCCACUACGACCAGCCACAACCCUGGAGCAAAGCCCAUCUUCCUCCUGUCCCUAUUUCCAGCACUCUAGUCCCCAGAUCCCCAAACCCCCAUCUGAUCCGGGCCUGGCCCCUGCCCCUCCCAAGUUGCUCUGAAAUUCUCCUUCUGUCAGUUUAAUUCCGUGAUCGAUGAGGAAGAGCAGGAGAAAUGGCCUGGCACAGCUGGCUUCCCCGUUAGCCCUAGCAGGGAUUCCUGGCCUCGUUGGCAACGGCUCAGUGAAAUGUUUGCGAAACGCAGAGAACACAAGUCAAUAACAAUUUAGCUGGAUUGGGAGCAAGUACCUUCCCCACACGGACAGCCACUCCCAGGGGAAGGGGAAGAGAAUGUGCAGGAUAUUGCCGAAGUGCUUAGAAAUAUUUCCAAAACACCACCCAGUGAGGCUUGGGGCUGGGAACUGGAGGGGGGGCGGACCGGGUGGCACCUGCUCCAGCUUCCUUCCAGGCCCCCCAGUCUCUUCAGGCAUCUCUGUUGGGAGAAACAUCCAGCUCCCUCAAUGUGGCCUCCACACAGCCAGCCACUGUCACCCUGGCUAGUAGCUGCCCUUGAGGAGCUGCCUAGACCAAAACAAUUCCUGAUCCCUGAUUUUCCUUCUCUGAAUUCUGCCUCCCCCAGCUGGGAGGGUAUGAGAAAAAGGUGUCUCUCAGUCAAUCUCAACCUCUCACCUGGUACCACUCACCAAUGUGACUAAGAGCUGGCGAAAGAACAAAACACACCAUCCUGAACAGAGAAAGUCAUUGGUCUUCAAGAGGGCAGGGAUAAUAUGCCUCCCGCACUUCCCCGUAUCCACCCAUGCUCUCAGCCAGGACCUUCUGUGGCAAUGUGGGACAGUCUCCCUCUGGCUGCCUCUUGCCUUGGCCACCACAGCCAAGUCUCAAGGAGGGCAGGAGAGGGACCAGAUAAAAGGAAUAAAAAUUGAAGCUUACAGAAAACCUCUCUCUUUG